GCCCGCCUAGCUCAAUCGGAUAGAGCGUCGGACUCUUAUGUACAUAGGAGUUGCGGGUCAACACAAACAGUUAUCUGAAGGCUGCGAGUUCGACCCUCGCGGUGGGCU